rnacentral:tRNA from 1 species
CGGGGUGUAAUGUCAGCCCGGUCAGACGGCCUGCUUCGGAUGCAGGAGGCCGCAGGUUCAAAUCCUGCCACCCCGACCA